rnacentral:ncRNA from 1 species
CUGAAUGACCGGUGCAGAGAUGUGCCUUUUCUUCGGAACAUUCAAGACAGGUGGUGCAUGGUUGUCGUCAGCUCGUGUCGUGAGAUGUUGGGUUAAGUCCCGCAACGAGCGCAACCCUUAUGCUUAGUUGCCAGCACAUCAUGGUGGGCACUCUAAGCAGACUGCCGGUGACAAACCGGAGGAAGGUGGGGAUGACGUCAAAUCAUCAUGCCCCUUAUGACCUGGGCUACACACGUACUACAAUGGUCGGUACAACGGGAAGCAAAGCCGCGAGGUGGAGCCAAUCCUUAAAAGCCGAUCUCAGUUCGGAUUGCAGGCUGCAACUCGCCUGCAUGAAGUCGGAAUUGCUAGUAAUCGCGGAUCAGCAUGCCGCGGUGAAUACGUUCCCGGGUCUUGUACACACCGCCCGUCACACCACGAGAGUUUGCAACACCCGAAGUCGGUGGGGUAACCGCAAGGAGCCAGCCGCCGAAGGUGGGGUAGAUGAUUGGGGUGAAGUCGUAACAAGGUAGCCGUAUCGGAAGGUGCGGCUGGAUCACCUCCUUU